rnacentral:rRNA from 1 species
CCUACGGGAGGCAGCAGUAAGGAAUAUUGGACAAUGGCCGGAAGGCUGAUCCAGCCAUGCCGCGUGCAGGAAGACGGCCCUAUGGGUUGUAAACUGCUUUAGUACGGGAGAAAACCCUUCUACGUGUAGGAGGCUGAUAGUACCGUAAGAAUAAGCAUCGGCUAACUUCGUGCCAGCAGCCGCGGUAAGACGAAGGAUGCAAGCGUUAUCCGGAUUCAUUGGGUUUAAAGGGUGCGUAGGCGGAUUAGUAAGUCAGUGGUGAAAUCCCAUCGCUUAACGAUGGUACUGCCAUUGAUACUGCUAGUCUUGAGUACAUAUGACGUUGGCGGAAUAUGACAUGUAGCGGUGAAAUGCUUAGAUAUGUCAUAGAACACCGAUUGCGAAGGCAGCUAACGAAAAUGUAACUGACGCUGAGGCACGAAAGUGCGGGGAUCAAACAGGAUUAGAUACCCUUGUAGUC